CCGAAUACAUAGCUGCUACUGCUGCUACAAACCAUGUCUUGUGGUUGAGAAAAAUCCUUGAUAACAUUGGGUUUAAACAAGGAAAGGAAACUAUUCUCUGGGUGGACAAACAAUCUGAUAUUGACAUAGCAAACAAUCCAGUGCAUCACGGGAAGACCAAACACACUAGGGUCAGAUAUCAUGCCAUUUGAGAUGCUAUUAAAGAGAAAGAAAUUUCAAUGCUCCACUGCUCUUCAAAUGAACAGCUAGCAGAUAUUCUGACAAAAGGGCUAAGCAAGGAAAGGUUUGCACAUCUCAGGACUAAGCUUGGAAUCGGAGAGAUACAUUCCAAAGAGGUGUGUUGAAUUUGAAAUGUAUCUCCAUUUAACCCUUCAAUGGCAAUGAUUUACUUUAAGAAUUAAGUUUUAUUUUAUUUCUUGGUAUUUGCCUUUAUCUUAUUUUCUGUUAUAGCACUUUCUGUACUCUACACAUGUAUGCUAUGUGACCGCUACCAUGUACAAGGUUCUGACAAGUAAUGGUACACAUCAUGGUUCAGCUAGCAGAAACUGUCAGCCAUUUUAGGCUUUAGUUUGCUUUUCUUUCUUAUAUGCUCCAGUAAUUUAUUUAACAGACUUAAUGAAUGUAAAUACUAAGUUCUGUGUUUGCUCUCAACUAGCCUUUUCUCUCUUCUUUGUCUUUGAUUCUGCCUGGUAUUCCAAAAAUUCUAACAGUGUUGCCUUUAUUCAGUCCAAAUAAGUGGGCCUCAAUCGAUAUGUGACAACCCAAAAUACUUUGAAUAUUCUCAGUCAUAGGAGUAAUAAGAUUCGAAUUUAAAAUCAUUUACUUCAGGACGACCCAUCUUAACAAAUGAAUCAAUCAAUUAUAUGUUGAUUAUAAUAUAUUAAAUAUAAUAUAUUUUAUAUGAGAAAGUAAGAUAGACCUAGCUUCUCCUGUAGCCUCUUUCCUUAAAUAACUUUCAGUGGGUAAAAAUUAACAUAAUGUUAUGAGUAAAAUGUUGAUCCUGCCAAAUUUAGACAAAAUUCUAACAGACCCUUCCAUAAUCAGGGGGUUUUAUCAGGAUUUAUGCAUCUGCAAACGACCAAACAAAGCUAACUAUAUAUUGACAUAUGCACAAAGCUUACAAGUUUAUCAUGUGAAGUGUGUAGUUGCAAGAUGAUGAUCUAGUGAUGGAUGCUGAUCUUCUCUAAUGACUCUAUAUCUUUGAAGCUAUGACUCAGGGUAGUUCUUCUUUGCGACUUUUUAGCUAAACAACAAAGUGAAAUCAAAGAUGAAGCAAAAAUGAGGUUAUAUGUAAGACAAAACCACAUCUGUUUGAGAACUUGAGAUCCAUCUGUCCACCACCUUCAAGCGUACUACUUGUACGAAGGAGCCAUGAUGAGAACAUCUGAGCUAUCCAUGGUGCAUUCACUGUGAUUACAAUAAUGUAUUUCCACUCCAUUUCCAUGUUACCAGGAAGAUGAAGAUUCCAAGUUAUCUGUUUAGAAGGCCUAUCUCUUUCUGUAGCCACAUUAUCUUCUCACUGGUUGAACCUGCACCCGUGAGUUCCAUGUCUAAUUCCAU
rnacentral:lncRNA from 1 species